ensembl:miRNA
AUCUCUGAGAUGUGGACUUUUAGCCCCAACGGCGUGAGAAAGUCAACACCUCACAGAUUC